CCCAGACUCCUACGGGAGGCAGCAGUGAGGAAUAUUGGUCAAUGGGCGCGAGCCUGAACCAGCCAAGUCGCGUGAGGGAUGACGGCCCUACGGGUUGUAAACCUCUUUUGCCGGGGAGCAACGGGGUCCUUGCGAGGGCCUGAUGAGAGUACCCGGAGAAAAAGCAUCGGCUAACUCCGUGCCAGCAGCCGCGGUAAUACGGAGGAUGCGAGCGUUAUCCGGAUUUAUUGGGUUUAAAGGGUGCGUAGGCGGAAUGCCAUGUCAGCGGUAAAAUCGCGGGGCUCAACCUCGCUCCGCCGUUGAAACUGGCGUUCUUGAGUGGGCGAGAAGUAUGCGGAAUGCGUGGUGUAGCGGUGAAAUGCAUAGAUAUCACGCAGAACUCCGAUUGCGAAGGCAGCAUACCGGCGCCCAACUGACGCUGAAGCACGAAAGCGUGGGUAUCGAACAGGAUUAGAUACCCCGGUAG
rnacentral:rRNA from 1 species